GGAUGAUUAGCUCAACGGAUAGAGUAGAGCACUUCUAAUGCUCAGGUUGCAGGUUCGAUCCCUGCAUCAUCCA
rnacentral:tRNA from 1 species